AGUGGCAGCAGCAAAAAUCAACAAAAUCAACAAAAGGCAACACAAAAGACGUAUUUUUAGUGCUUGCGUGCGAAAUUUUGUUGGUGUCAAAGUUAAACAAUUUACGUGAGAUUGCAAGGACAGGCCAAGAAGAAGCAGCAGUACAAAAAAGGAUAAUUGCAACAGCAAGCAUAAGAAGUAAGCCAGGCAACUGCAACAGCAACAUUUGCUGCAAGUGCAGCUCCCACAGCCGUCGCCGCCGCCAAGUUCAAAAUCAACGCC
rnacentral:sRNA from 1 species